rnacentral:lncRNA from 1 species
GUUAAACCUCCCUCUCCUACAUUUCGUGGUUAGGUUUCAUAGGUUCUUGGCUGGUUGACAGUGCUGGAUAAUAAUUCAAUAUUUCUUACUGAAAUACUUGACCUUAUUGUUAGUUUUCGUGACAAGGGGAAUUUAAAGGAGCUGCAAAAAAAUGCAAGCGAAGUGCGGCUGAAAAAGGCCAGGGUCCGCCACAGAGCAGUGAACGGUUUCUUUUUCUGACAUCUAUAAAAUUUAGGUGAAAACAGGUCAACAUUGAUCUUGGCAAAUGGGAAAGCCAGUUCUAUUGUUAGCAAACGAGGUUCAGAUAGAAAUUCGAGUCUGGUUCAAUCAAAACCACAUUGGCUUUUAGAGGCCAGCGAUGUGCUUUCUAUAAAAAAAAAAAAAAGAAGAAUAUUUAUCCAGACACAAAGUAGAAAUAUUCUUGGCUCAGCAGAUCGUUUUGUGAGCAUCCGAUCAGCUCGGUGAAGCGGAGGAGUCCCUUUCCUGUUCUUUUAAGGUCUGCAGGCCUCUGACACUUCACAUGCCUCCUCUCUCUAUUUUGAACUGGCAAGGACUGUCGGAGAUAGAAACCAUAUCCUAAGCAGGGUUCCCCAUUGCCUGCCUAAGAGGGAUUUCUUAUAGCCAGCUAGCUAGUGGCUGAGAAAGGAGCAGAGGUGACAGUUUCAAAUAGAAACUCUCUUGAUUUGGAGUGAGGUUUACAGUCACUUUCAUGGUCUUGUCUCAAGAGCCACAAGGGAAGGACCUAAGAGCUUUUGUGCUUGACAAUUUCAGCCUACCAGGUGGUUUGGUGCUCUCUCUCUCUCUCUCUCUCUGUCUGUCUGUUUCUGUCUCUGUCUCUCUGUCUCUCUCUCCUUCUGUCCUGGGACAAUCAGAUAACCUUGCCCUUGUAGGAAUUAGAAUAGCCCCAGAAGGAAAAAACGGUAGCUUUGCUAGAAUAUCCCACCAGCACAUGAAAUGGCUAAACCUAGAGACUCUCUGCUGGGCUAGGAUUCUAGAAGCUUGACUCUUUUCCAGGAAAUUAUUUUAUUUUAGUUUAGGUGAAAUUUGCAUAAAAUAGAUUAAAAUAUUUUAAAAUGAAUGAUCGUGGGGCACUGCUUUCAAAUUCAUUUAUAUAUUUAAUUUGUAUUUAUGGAUGUUUGGCCUUCAUGCAUAUCUGUGUCUGUUUUGUGCCCAAGGAAGGAAGAAGAGGGCAUUGGUUACCCUGGAACUAAAGUUACAGCUGUUUGUGAGCCAUCAUGUGGGUACUGGGAGCCAAACUAGGUUCUUCUGCAGGAGCAACACAUACUCAUAACAACUGAGCUGUCUUUUCAGGCUUCCGUCCCCUUCCUGGGCAUUUUAAAGUACUCUCAGCGUGUGUUAUCCCUUCUAACUAUAAAACACCACCUUACAAUGAAGCCAGACACACAGGAAGCACUUCCUCUCUAUUUUUAUUCAAGAUCCAUUUGUGUGUCUGUGUCUAUGCAUAUGGAGACCACAAGACAUCCUUGAGUGGCUGGGCGUGGUGGCGCACGCCUUUAAUCCCAGCACUUGGAAGGCAGAGGCAGGUGGAUUUCUGAGUUCGAGGCCAGCGUGGUCUACAGAGUGAGUUCCAGGACAGCCAGGGCUACACAGAGCAACCCUGUCUUGAAAAACAAAACAAACAAACAAACAGACAGACAGACAGACAGACAGCCUUGGGUGUCAUUUCUCGGGCCCUGUCCAUCUUUAUGUUUUAUAGACAGGAUCUUUCACUCACCUGGAAUUUGUCAAGUAGGUUAGGUUGACUGACUAUUGAGCCCCCAGGGAUCCAUUUUUCUGUACAUCCCCAGCUUUGAGAUUACAAACAGGUUCUGCCAUACCCAACUUUUAAAACUUUGUUUCUAGGGAUCAAUCUCAGGGCUCCUUGAUGGCAAGGGAGCUUUUUACUGACUGAGCCCAGUCCCUGAAUCCAGCUUUUAAUACAAAUUGGUCCAUUUACCUUAGUUUUUAUAUGGUGUCUUGUUAGGGCUCUGUGAUUUUUAAAUAAAACGUGGUUCUGUUUUCAGGGAGGAUUGGGAGGGAGUAUUUAUUACACAGAGCAGCUAACUUUGGGCUAAGUUUGGGGCAUGGGAGAGCCAGGGUCUGGACAUUAUAGUAACAUGGUAACGUAGUAUCGUAGUAACAUAGUAACAUAGUAUCGUAGUAACAUAGUAACGUAGUAACAUAGUAUCAGCCUUUGAGGCCCUUGGGUGGCGGUGGAGUGGGAAUCAUUUUCUAUGGAAGCUACUCCUCAGCAGGAGACCCAGAAUCUUUCAAACCCUCCACAUUCCCAGUCUCUAGCGCACACCCCUAUCCCAGGACGCAUCUUACUUCUUUCGUUUGUGUUGGGAGAUAUCCAAAUCUGGCACCAGGCAGCCCCAGCUUGCAAGUUGGGCAGGGGGAGCAGCCUGACCCAGAUCUAGAAAAAGCCCUCCCUGGGAUGCUGACUGCUACCUUUUUCAAUCCAGACUUCAAUCCAUAUUGUCCCACAGGGUAAUCGUUUUAAAAUGGCAAACAAUAAGAAAGGCUUCCUUCAAUUUUGCUUCCAAGUGGCAAUGUAUCUACAUAAGCUAUAGGUAAGAAUGUGAAUUUUCUGCUUUAAGAU